rnacentral:rRNA from 1 species
CCCUUAGAUGUCCUGGGCCGCACGCGCGCUACACUGAUGCAUUCAACAAGCCUAGCCUUGGCCGAGAGGUCCGGGUAAUCUUUGAAACUGCAUCGUGAUGGGGCUAGAUUAUUGCAAUUAUUAAUCUUCAACGAGGAAUGCCUAGUAAGCGUGAUUCAUCAAAUCGCGUUGAUUACGUCCCUGCCCUUUGUACACACCGCCCGUCGCUCCUACCGAUUGAAUGUGUUGGUGAGGAGCUCGGAUUGGCAGCAGUUGGUGGUUCGCCACCGGCUAUUGCUGAGAAGUCCUCCAAACCGCCCCAUUUAGAGGAAGGAGAAGUCGUAACA